GCGGCGGUCGGCGGCGCGGAGGCGGGGCGGGGUCAAAAUGCUCCACCACACGGGGUGAGGAGCGCAAGCCGGCCCCGCCUACACCAGGCCUGUGGCGCGGCUUGCAGUUGCGGACUUGCGACGGGCAUUUCCGAGGCUGGCGGCAGAAGGUUUGAAUCCUGGUAACGCUAGGCCUGCGCCCCUGGAUCCCGCCGGGCUGAAGUGGCGCCCUUCCAGAACUCCGAGUCUCCCUUUCAGCUUACUCUUUGGAUAACAGCAGGAAAAUUAAUGAACUCCAUCUUUGGCAUGGAUUAGAAAAUUCCACUGUGCCAUUGAUGGCGCUUACAGAGACUCCAGAACUUUACAGAAACCCUCCAUCGAAAGCUACAAGGAACACAGGUAAAGCUGGCCUGAUUUCCUUGUUCACAGUCUGGAAAAGAAAGGGAGAAGGAAAAGGAGGAAAGUACCUGGCUGGGGGAAGUGUGCCCAGACAGAGGGAGGUGCUUUCCCGAGCCGUUCUGGGAACCAUCCGUCUCUGCAGCGGCACAAUGCCCUCCUCAUUCCCUGGGUCCUCGCGACAUGGUGGCUGACUUGGAGCCUUCUCUCGCACAGAAUCAGUGGCAAACAUUCAGACUUGUGGCCACUGGGCACGUCUUGGGCAGGCUCCUUCAGCCACUGGGGUGGGUUCCCACUCUCAGCAGAGAUGGGAACAAACUGUA